rnacentral:rRNA from 1 species
AUGGCUAAAGCUUUGGCGUUAAAAUUUGGCCUAUCGCUUGCACAAAGGACGGCUUGUAAUCGCAUAAUUAUUAACUCGGAUAAUAUGGAGGUUAUCGAGACCAUGAACGAAGGAGGACGAUCGUCGGGGGCAGCAGCUGCAAUUUUUGAUGACUGUUUUCACUUAGCUUGCAAUUUUCCUAUUUCUAGAUUCGAGCAUUGUAAUAGAGAAGCAAAUAAAGUUGCUCAUAAACUUGCCAAGUUGGCUAGAUUUUCCUUCAUUUCUGAUUGGCUCGAGGAACCACAUAAUGCAAUUGUACCAAUCCUCGUAAACAAUGUAAUGAUUAUUUCUAAUGAAUAA